rnacentral:misc_RNA from 1 species
GAUAAAGGUGACAAGCAUAAGAGAGUAAAAACUCAAAAUCCUAUUCAGCAACAAAGUUCUGGGGGUAGGAACUCUACUUUUGUGGAGAGUUCACACUUAUCUCCUGAUAAGCCUUUAGAAGGGCCUUAUAAGGGCCUUCAUAUGCAGAUGGAAGACAGAACUUCCAGAGAUGCUGCUGGGGAUUUUGGUUCACAAAACAAUCAGGCCAUGUCUCGAAAGUCUGCUUCUGAAUUUUUGCAGCCAGACCGAAGAUCUGUUGAUUUCUCUGCAAGGGGCAAAACUCCCACUGGUUCUGAGAGGCCAAUUAAACAAGGUGAAAGCUCAGGGCAUACUGCUAAGUACACUGAAAGAAGCCUUCAAAUGAAUGAAGGAUUCCCCUUACAGAGAGACAAGGUUAGUAAAUAUUCACAAGAUGAAUACGGCAUUGUUAGUGAUAAAAGGGAAAGAAAAAGUCUGAAAGAUGGUGUUGGGGACCUGCAUAGAACAUCAGUUGAUUCAAACCUAAAUAAGUAUGAUAGCCCGCUGCCAGGAAAUUCUCCAAAGGAUAUUAUGAGUAAUAUGGGGAAAUCUUCUUUCAUUAAUGGGCGUGGGCACAUGCUUCAUAGAGAGCUCUCAGACUUGGAGUUGGGAGAACUUCGGGAGCCUCCAACACAAGAACCAGCUGGUUUGAAAAAGCAGGUUGAGAGGAAAAAUUCAUUUAAAGGAGAGAAUAGACCAUCAAGUUCAGAUUAUUGGAAUUUUGAGUCGAGUAAAGGACGAACUGUUGAUAAGACUGUUGCAGACUUUAGAAGAUCAUCUCCUCUCCAGUUGAGCUCUGUGCAUUCUGGCACUCCGGAUGGCUUAUCUAAGAGGAGGACCCCUGAAUGGCACACUGAGGAUUUGUCAAGAUCUCACCAAAAGGUUGCACAACCUCAGCCUCAACAGCACCGUCCUAGAAUUUAUCAGAACGAUAUUGGGUCCCAAUAUAAUCAACCAGUGGACGUG